GUAGGUGGCAAGCGUUGUCCGGAAUUAUUGGGCGUAAAGCGCGCGCAGGCGGUUCUUUAAGUCUGAUGUGAAAGCCCACGGCUCAACCGUGGAGGGUCAUUGGAAACUGGAGAACUGAGUACAGAAGAGGAAAGCGGAGUUCCACGUGUAGCGGUGAAAUGCGUAGAGAUGUGGAGGAACACCAGUGGCGAAGGCGGCUUUCUGGUCUGUAACUGACGCUGAGGCGCGAAAGCGUGGGGAGCAAACAGGAUUAGAUACCCUGGUAGUCCACGCCGUAAACGAUGAGUGCUAAGUGUUAGGGGGGUUUCCGCCCCCCUUAGUGCUGCAGCUAGCGCAUUAAGCACUCCGCCUGGGAGUACGGCCGCAAGGCUG
rnacentral:rRNA from 1 species